CUUGCUUGUCUCAAUGCCAUUUAAUAACACCGUGCAAGUCGGCAUUCUAGCAGAUGUUGUCGCUGAGUCCCAGGACCAGAACGCUAAGGGGACUACUUCUGGAUGUCACCAGGUUGGUGAGGACCUUGCUGUGGAGUCUGUUGCUGUCCCUUUCCUUCAGGCCAACCUCCUCCAGCUUCCGAGGACAAGGCUCCGAAUUAUGGGCGACCGCGCCUUCUGCUCAGCUGCACCCAGUCUGUGGAAUGCUCUCCCUGACCAUCUAAGGGCCCCACAGACUGGAUUAUUUUAAAAAAGGCCUAAAAACCCAUCUUUUUAGAAAAUGUGCUAUUUUUAUUUAUUUUUUGUUGCAUUUUUCUCUUUUUUUAAUGUGCAUUGUAGUACUUUGAGAUCAUUUAAUUUAUAUAAAAGUGCGUUAUAAAUAAAAUGUAUUAUUAAUGUGUCUCAGCU
ensembl:lncRNA